ACUGCUACAGCCAGUGUUCUAUUAUUUAAAACAAGUAGAUGUUUUGGUCAAAUUUGAUCACGACAUUGAGAUAAUGAACAAGCUCAAAACAGAUCAGCUGACUGCUCUGAAGAGACGACACUUGAAAUUACUUAAAGCACUCUUCUACCUAAGAGACAGAAGAUGGUUUUCUUAUUCUCCAGUCAUCCUGCAAAGUCCUGCAUGAAAUAAACUACUGCAACCUACAGGUAUCAUAGAAACAUUUCAGUCAAGAGCGCAAGCUCCACUUUUGCCCCUAUGCUUUUUAUGCUAAUAUGCAUGAUUUAAGGAAUGACAGCAAGGAGACUGGAUAGCUUAAGGUGUAGUUGAUUGGAUGCUGAUGGUCUAGCUGUUGUUUUGGUAGCUACUUUUAUAUAUUGUAAAGGAAUUGACCAUGCAGCAUCAUUCUCCUGCUACCUCAACUUGUGGCUGAAUCUAACAGCUUAACCCUGAUGGUUUCAACCCUCCAUUUAGCUCAUUUGGUCAAAUAAGGCUGGUGGUAACUGAAAGCUGUGACCAGCUGAUGUCUAUGUUGAUGGUAUGUGGAAAUCCCCUUUGUGGACUCAGAUCAAAUUUUACUGAUAAAAUCUCACUAUCAUCUCCAAGCAAAUUCCUCCAAAAUAAAUGCUAACUCAAGGCUCUGGGGCAACCACAGGUUUAAAGACAAAGAGGGUGUACUUGUCUCUUCCCUAGAAGUAUUGUCUGUAUGCCAGCAAUGAAGUGAAAAGAAGCACAUUUGUGUCAGCACCACCCAGGCUGUCAAUAAGGAACUCCUGCCCUCAGAACUAUCAAAUCAAAUUCAUAUGAACUUCCCACUCUUCCAAAACCACUUUCCCACAGGGAAGAAGAGAUCACAAAAUUAAACAGCAUUCCCUUCUUCUCACAUCUUUGUAAUCUGCAAGCACUGUGCAUGUCAUAGUGUUCCCAGGAGGUUUCCUUAACCAUAAUGUCUCAUCUCUGCAAACAAACAGCUGCUUCCCUUUUGCACAAGAGUUCUUGGAGACAUACUUCACUUAUCAGAACUAAACCACUGAAAAGCUGGUAAAUAACCAAGUCCUGCUGGAAAGAUGAAAUCGUACUGUAGAUAGAUGGAUUUGCUUAACCUAUAAAAUAAUUCUGGAAUAGCUGUUGUUUUGGCAAAAUUCUAAAAUGUAACAAAGUUUGAUUGUUCUUGGCUUCUCCUAAUUUGCUUACUUUGGGGCAAUAGCUGACUUUCAAUAUGCAUGUUGGUCUCAUUACUGUUAAGUAAAAUAUACACACAUGUAUCUAAGAGAGGUUUGACCAUUUACUGUCAGUGUUCCAAGGUUAGCUGAAGUCUGGACCUUUUACUUUCUCUGUGCUCCACUAAUUGAGACCAAAGCUUAUGCAAGACUUCCUUGGGGAACACAGGGUCUGAGGUUUUUACAGUCCACAAGGCUAAAAUUCAAAUAUGAACCACAGCUGUUUGGAUGGAAGUCCUGGACCUCUUCCUUUUGAACUAUAGUGACCUGUUCAGCCUUGCCAUCAUGUGAAACUCUGAAAUCCCUGCACAGCUGAUGACUGGGAUGUGAAAAUUGCCUGCCAAGCAGACCUGGAUAAAGUGAUGGGUUUACAGUGCUCUGGGAUUUGCAGGUGGAAGGACUGCUCUCACUUUCCUCUGCUAGCCUUUUCCCCUCCAUUUCUGUACAUAUCAUUUCUUUGUAUAUAUGUGCAGAUUUGAUUCCACAUUCACCAUCCAACCAGAUGAAUUGAUGUUCUUAUUGAAGAUGGUGAAGUUCUUCCCUUCUGCCAAGUACAGUUAUUUUUAUGAGUCCCCAGUAAGAGGUAAAUUAAGAUAAAUAGGGUGUGGGAUAAACUAGUCAAUCAAUUCAAAUAGGGAUAGACCUCCAGUGUCCUAACACUUCUUAAAUACUUUGUCUUCACUUGGCGGUACUCUAUCUUAAUUGAGGACCUUAAUUAAACCAGGACAAACAAGCAUGGCCUUUUCCUACUGUGGACUGUCGUAUGAAGAUAUUUGUGAAAGGGUGGAGUAAACAUUUUUGCGGAUCACACUGCAAGAGGAGACAUAUGGGAACACACUGUGAUGAGAAAGGAAAUCAUUUGUUGCUCCAAAGACAAUGUGAUUGGCAUUGUGAGCUCAGAUGCAUGCAGACAAGCAAGGUGAAAAAUCAAGAUUGAAGCAGAAUGAAAUGCUCCUUUCUUCAGUAAGUCAGCGGGAGUCAUAAAUACUUCUGUUUCAGCUAGGAAAGCUACAAAAAUGAGCUAAAUCAUGAUUCUGUUUCCAUGCUAAUGCACGCAUUUUGAAGUAAUAUGCAUAAAAGUGCCUUCCUUUUGGCAUAUCUGCAAUGACAUAAAUAUUCAGAUAUAUACUAAUAAGUAAUUUUCAAGAAGUUCAAAAUGAUAGGCUGCAUGACAGCUAUUUAAGGGGACAGGCAGCCCACCUUCCAGUGCCCACAAUGACUUGAAUCAAGUUGUAGAAGAAGGUGCUUCUGGAAAUCAAUGGUGAAUCUUACAUUCCCUUGCAUUUUGAAUCCAAAUUCAUUAUUUCAUUAACACUAUUAAUUAUAUAACAAUUAAUCAUAUAAUAAUCAUAAAAAUAAUUAUAUAAUAACGAUGUCCAAAUGAAUAAUAAGCUUUUUCAAUAUUAAUGACUGCCUAAUAAACAAGGCAAAGGAGAUCUUGAUCUGGUUUGGUCUAUCCUUACACAUUCAUUUUACUAUGGCAAAGCACAUUAAAUAGUAUGGAAUGUAUAAAAAAGGCACUAUUCCAUAUCUAUCGUUAUCCUGAAAGUCUUUGUGUGUCCAAGGUAAUAGGAAUUCCCACAUUCAUGCUUACUAUAAAAUACAGCAAGCAAAAGCUACAUAAAUUCUGUUUAAUAUGGAAAUAAUUUUGCUGCAUCUUUGGCUUUGUAUGACAUGGAAACUGGUGAUUGUUUAUGCUUUGCUACUUUUUUUGGUCUGCAUUAAAAUCCCACAUGAGAAACAAAUUUUUCUCUAGGAACAAAAUGUUACUUUUUUGGGACUGCAUUCUAAUAAGUUGGGUAGUACGUCUGCUUCUUUUCAGCUGGGAAAUUGCAAUGCAUAUAAAAUCCAGAUGGAUAGCACAUGAGGCUGGAAGCAGCUUUGGCCAAUCAGCCACGUCACUUGAUUAAAAGAAACCUAUAAUAAUUUAAGUAAAAAUAGAACCCCAACAAAGUAACAGAGCACCAAACUGGCUGCAGCAUGAGAUUUCAUCACAAUUCUAUUACUGAUGUACUUUUGCUAAUUGGCCCUUUCAUACCUUAUUGUAAAUUAACAUAUUUGCAUUAAGCAUGCAUGGAACUUGUGAUUAAUGCCCAAAAUAUCAGUGAUGGAGGAUACAUGAUAAGCAGUAUGAGGGGGGAAAUUCAACAUCAGACUACAGAGGGCCACAAGGACCUAUUGCUCUUAGGGCAAUGGUGCACUUAAAGAACUCAGCUGAGAGUGUUGCCAUGAGAAAACAUUGACCCCGGCAUGAGCCACACUAGUGAAGACCAGUACUUAGAAUCAUGGAAUCACUCAGGUUAGAAAAGACCUUAACGGUCAAGUCCAACCACAAUGUAACCAUACUACCCCAAAUCCAUACUUUUUGUAUGGAACUUGUAUGUGUCUAUCAGAAGGCAAGUAAGCACAUAUUAGCGCAAUUACAAGGUCAUUCUGCAGAAAAACUCCUGAGUAUCCCAUGAGAUUCAGCAGACUUGUGGGCAAGUUUGUCUAAGGCAGCUUGUGAAGAAGUCACAGGCAGGACUUGCAGAGGGAUGGAGCCACAUCUGGAAUCCCUAUGGGCAAUUGGAGGAAUGUUUAUUAUUCUUUGUUUAUUAUUUUGAGUGUGUACUCUCCCUCUUCCUUUCUUUGUCUCUCUUUGUUAUUUGUGUAAUAAAAUUCCUCUAGGCAUACAAAGUAAGUAAGUCAUCUGGAAUUGUGCAGUUCCCUCUGCCAGGAAGCUGGAAAAGCCUCUCUCUCUCGUGCAGAGAAAAAAAUAUGGGCUCAUCUCAAACACUGAGAAAUUACAGAAACAUUCACCAUUUGCCUUUGAGUUAUAUUUACGUAGAAAAGAACUGUGGUAAAUACAUGUGCUUCUUCCUAUGAAAAAUAAAAAAGACUUUUAUUCUGCCCAAGGUGAUGUGUUUAUUCAAAAGUUGUUGAGAAAUAAUUUGUACCAUUCUAAAAUCAAGCAGGCAAAAUACAUUAAAAAGGUCCAGUGACAAAGUAUGGUUUUGGUUUUUUUUGCCAGUGUGUGCGGAGAAGGAAAAGGAAAUAAGUAGAGAGGAGUGUCUUUAUGGCCACAUGGCUAGUGAAAAUUUCUAUUUAUUCUUUGGGGAAAAAGCAAAGUAGCUGCAUAGUUGAUGGUUGGAUAGGUGCCGGGACUAUUUUUAUUGGCAGGCAGCUCUGAGUGGCUGAAAGGUGGUCAUUAACACCCUGACACAAAGUGCUGACAGGGCGAUUAUAAGAUUAACACCCUAUGUUAUAUUAACAGUGUCAAAAACUCCCUGUACCUGUCAGUGAGAAAUAAUGGCAUGAAGGAAAACAUUAUAGACAUGCUGAGAUUUUAACAUUGGAAUACCAUGCGGCUAUUCAUGUUUUGAAAUUGAUCUAAAUAUCUAGGUGACCUAAUGAAGGCUCAUAAAAUAAUGUGAUUUAAAUGGUAGCUUCACCAAAUCAAAAAAUGAAGGCAAAAGUGAAGAUGCCCAGCUUGCUCACUCUGUUGUUGACACUUUUAGCCCUGGUCUCCCUGGCAGAGGGUCUCUCACAACUGCUGCCUUUUGGUAGAGUUAUGGUUUGAGAUCUCAUAAAUUUAGGAUUUUACCUUAGGACUUGACAAAAACAGAGCUUUUCUGGAGAAUAUUAUUACUGAUGCAAAUGGCAAAAUUCAGCCUUGGUCUUCCUCCAAGAUUGCUAGUCAUCAUAGGCUGGUUUUAUCAGUGAGAGCCUUAGGACCAUAAGGACUAAUCUGCAUUUAAAAAGUCUUUGCUCCAUGUUCACUAGAACUGGAACAGCAAACCCUCUAGCAUAGCUGUAGAGAGUGGCUGAGGGAAAUGGAAUUGUUCAUUCUGGAGAUGGGGAGGCUCAGGGAAGACCUAAUCACUCUCCACAGCUGCCUGAAAGGAGGUUGUGGAGAGAUGGGGGUCAGCCUCUUCUCCCUGGUAUCAGUUAUAGGAUGAGAGCGAAGAGAAAAACACCCAAUCAAGUGACCUUGCCAGGAGUUCUAUCUCCUCUCUGACCACAAAGCCCCCCUGGGGAAUGCAGUUCUUCUCUUCCAGACAGGUACCCGGAACUGGAGCAUUAACAC